rnacentral:rRNA from 1 species
CGGACGGGUGAGUAACGCGUGGAAAACCUGCCGUAUACUGGGGGAUAACACUUACGAAAUAGGUGCUAAUACCGCAUAAGCGCACAGCUUCGCAUGAAGCGGUGUGAAAAACUCUGGUGGUAUACGAUGGUUCCGCGUCUGAUUAGCUAGUUGGUGGGGUAAUGGCCUACCAAGGCAACGAUCAGUAGCCGGCCUGAGAGGGUGAACGGCCACAUUGGGACUGAGACACGGCCCAAACUCCUACGGGAGGCAGCAG